GCUAACGUCCGUCGUGAAGAGGGAAACAACCCAGACCGCCAGCUAAGGUCCCAAAGUCAUGGUUAAGUGGGAAACGAUGUGGGAAGGCACAGACAGCCAGGAUGUUGGCUUAGAAGCAGCCAUCAUUUAAAGAAAGCGUAAUAGCUCACUGGUCGAGUCGGCCUGCGCGGAAGAUGUAACGGGGCUAAACCAUGCACCGAAGCUGCGGCAGCGACACUAUGGGUUGUUGGGUAGGGGAGCGUUCUGUAAGCCUGCGAAGGUGUGCUGUGAGGCAUGCUGGAGGUAUCAGAAGUGCGAAUGCUGA
rnacentral:rRNA from 1 species